rnacentral:rRNA from 1 species
AAUGAACGCUGGCGGCGUGCUUAACACAUGCAAGUCGAGCGAGGCGGAAGGGGGCAACUCCUUCCAGUCGAGCGGCGGACGGGUGAGUAACACGUGGGUAACCUGCCCGGAAGUGGGGAAUACCUCGGGGAAACUCGAGCUAAUACCGCAUGACAUCUUCGGGACGAAAGUCCUGACGAUCAAAGCGGGGUCGCAAGAUCUCGCGCUACCGGAUGGGCCCGCGCCCGAUUAGCUAGUUGGGAGGUAACGGCUCACCAAGGCUUCGAUCGGUAACCGGCCUGAGAGGGCGAUCGGUCACACCGGAACUGAGACACGGUCCGGACUCCUACGGGAGGCAGCAGUGGGGAAUCUUGCGCAAUGGGCGAAAGCCUGACGCAGCAACGCCGCGUGGAGGAUGAAGGCCCUUGGG